rnacentral:lncRNA from 1 species
UUAAAAGUGAUUAAAACUUUGUCAAAGAGGUGAGGCAAAUGCACACAUCAUAGAGAGCCAAGUGUAGGGGGUCUCUGAAUCACAGCAGUCAAAAGAAAAGUGCUUUAGGAGAUCAAGAAUGAGAUUGCUUCCAGCUGGAUAAAUGCAGACAGAUUUCAAAGGGAACUAUUUGAAAGUGAGUGCCAGAAGAAUGAGGACCUUCCCCACGUGACUGCUGUCGCCUUGUCACACUCAAGAAAUUUAACAUUGGCAGAAGAAAUCUAAUAUUUAAAUUUCCCCAACUGUGCCAGUAAUAGUCCUGUAUCUUUUUAUCUUCCAAUCUGGGGAUGCACUCAGGGACCUUGCAUUGCAUUUACUGUCGCAUCUCUGAGUCUGCUAAACAGACCUCCCCCCCACCCUGCCAGUAUCCUCCUGUCACUUCCUGUCCCCUGGUCAUUGUCACGAAUAUGCACACAACAACCACCAGGCCUAGAGGUGAUGCCCCUUGAUGUCCCCUUUACCCUUUAGACUCACACAGCUCAGGGCUUGCCUCCCUCCCUGCCCUCACCCCCCCGACCAAUGCCUGUGUAGGGACCCUUCUGUCUGUGUAGGGACCCUUCUGUCCCCUCUGUCGCCUGAGCAGACAAGGAGCUUCCAAGAGGCCGGAGGUCCCAGUUUGCUUUUCCCCUGUGUUCCCAGCAAUGACACAGGGUUGAGACAGCUGGGGCUGGGGGUUUAUAGAGUCAGUGGACGUUACCCAUCCAGGCAGGAGGCCUGGAAGGGCCGGGCCAGCCCAGGAGCGGCAGCAGAGCAAGACACCACAUUUUCUUUCCUGCCCUCAGGACAGCCACUCACUGGUGGAAGGCCUCAGGUGUGGAGGCCCGGAGUCUGCUCAAGCUCUAUGGGAUCCGCUUCGACAUCCUCGUCACUGGGCAGGCAGGGAAGUUCGGGCUCAUCCCCACGAUCAUCACUCUGGGCACUGGAGCAGCUUGGCUGGGUGUGGUGAGUCUGGCCAAUGUGGGCUCCCUCUGGCUACAGCGACUGUGUACCCAGGAUGGCCCAAGUGCACUCCAAGCACCCCGACCCCCACCAUGCAUGAUGUUGAGUCUGGGGGUGAGGGCUGGGGAGGUGGCCGAAGGGCAGGCUGAGGGCCAAGACACAGGUCUGCCCCGCCUCUCCCAGAUCACCUUCUUCUGUGACCUGCUACUGUUGUACGUGGAUGAAGAAGCCCAUUUCUACUGGAGUACCAAGUAUGAGGAGGUAGGCUGCGGGCCUGUCCGGACCCUGGGCUCGGCUACAUUUUGGAGGAUACUGACCAGAGCCCUGAUCGGAUGUUCUCAUCUGCAGGCAAAGGCCCCGAAGGUGACCACCAACCCUGAGCAGACAGAGCCAGCUUCUACACCCCCGCACGUGGCUGCCCAGGUGUCUUAGAGGGGGCCCAGUCUGGGAACCAGACACCAACACCAGAGUGGCCCAUGCCCAGGCUCUGGCCCCCACUCACUGGCCUGUUCCUGAGGCUGUUUCCUGCUGGUUGCCGGGUGGGGACCCCAUCUUGGGGAGCUGCUGGAUAAAGCCCCAGCAGGACCAGGGUCGGGGGUGGGGGGAGAAUUACACCCUUCCACUCCCAGACAGACUGACCCUUUCCUGACUCCAGCUUCAGCAGGGUGCUGCCUGGGGGGGGCCACAGAAGCCAGUUUUGUAGAGACCUGCAGCAGAACAGGAGCCACGGAGAAGGGGAGACCCUGGGGCACCCAUGUGGCAGGGUAGUGGGCCAGUGGGGCUCCUGCUGUGUCUGGGUCUAGAGAACUCUCUCCCAGUCCCCGUCAGCAGUGUUCCCAGCGGUGGCCUGCUCACCAGCUGUCAGCAGCAGCCCUCCCACUGGCUGUGGCAGACUCCAGCCUCCAGCCCCCCUCCAUCCGCCAGCACCUCUAUCGUAGGUAGAGCCCCUCCGUCUCAGCUGUGCUGCACCGGGGGCUGUGCAACCAGAGUCUGAAGCAAGGUAGAAAGAAGCCUGACAAGAGGGGUCAGGCUGCUCCGGUGUUGGAUUGCCUGGGGCAACCUACCCAACUCUGAAUGAAGAGUGAGUAGGCAGAUAAUCCAACCCCUACGGACCCCCAGGCAAGGACACAGGCACCCUUUGGUCUCACACUGGCCCAGUUGAUGAGCAUCAGCCCCUCCCUGGUGGUGGCCCUCAGGCUAUGGGGUUUGGGAUAGGGAGGAGAGACUGGAGGGCCUGAGAUGGUGGUCACUGGGUCCUUUGGGAUCUUCUGUAAGGCUCCUCAUUAACCACCCCUCCCCAGCCCAACCCCUAGAACCUGCUCACUGGAGCCAUGGGAGUAGGGAGGCUGUACAUCUGGAAUUCACUGCUACCCAAGGUCAUAGCUAAGAACCUGUCAGGGCAUCUGCUUGUCCCAGCCUGAGGCAACUGCAUGCAGGAGACCUUGAACAUAACCCUAGGUAGAGCCCAGUGGCUGGAAGGAAUGUCCCUCACAAAGGACACAAAGGUGCCCCGCAGGCUGGCUUGGUAUCUUUCUGGAGUCUGAUUCCUGCCUGCUGGAGAAUUUCCCCUGCCCCAGAGUCCCACAGUCAGGAGGGGAGGAACAGGGGCUGCAAGAGCCAAACUCCCUGUGGUCCCAGGGCAGAGGCAGGAAUUUGGGAGAACCCACCCGAGGGAGGCAAGGGCCUUCUCUCUCAUGGGUCCCUGGUGACCAAGGGUGAGCUGGCAGCUUGGCAGCGGAGCCACAAAGACCAGUUGGGGAGGGCCAGGGCUGGGGCUCAGGCUGGGCUAGCAUCUGGAAUCAUCUGGCACCUGGAGCCUCAGCAAAGCCUUGGGGUCUCCACUGCUUCUCAAUCCCCAGAGACGUGUCCAUGGGGAGGCAGGUUCAGGAGAGCCAAGGUGAGAGAACAUGGCUCUGAGGCCUGGUUAUUGGAGUGGGGUCACAUGUACCUGGUUGUGCUCAGGGCUCUAAGUGGUCAUAGCUGCAGAAAGUCAAGGAGUAAAGCCUGCUCAAACCAGCAGCUUCCUGUGUAGUCCUUAUAGGCAAGAACGGGGAGUUGGAAGCAUCUAUGAUGGACAUAGCAUGGCUUUAGGGAGACCAGUGGGGAAAGGGGAAGGAUGGGCCUGCGGACCCCCACCUCACAGCCACCAGCUGGGCUCAGCGGUACUUGGAGCAGGCCCAGGCCUUGUGCAUCCGUACGCAGGAGUGUAUACCAUACAUGUGUGUAAUAUCCUAAGCCUUUAUCGCAAAGCCCUUGAGGGAAGGGGGAGAGUACCAGCUGUGACAGCUAGAAAGCUGUGGCCAGGGCCUGAGGCUGGAAGCAGCAACACGUUGCCUCAGUCUGCAUGUGGGUGUGCAUCGUCAAGAUGGCCAUGCAGGCACGUGCCCCAGAGGAGCCCUGGGCAGGCCUCGGGGACAUGCUAUGCUUUCUGGGAGCCUUGGGAACCCAGGAGGACCCUGGAACUCCACUGCCCUUUGUAGGCGACCUUUUUGGGGCCCAGGUUCUGCUCUCUGGAUCUCCCCCUCCAAGGGACAUGUGGGGAGCCUGUGAUGGGGGGAGCCUGACUCUGCCCUUUUCAUGGUCCCCUCCUCUCCUGGUGUGUGUGUGGGUGUGUACAUAGCUCCGCUCUGAGCUGGGCAGAGGGCACCAGCCUGAGGGCAGGACUCCAGGGCCCAGGCCGGUGGUGUCUCUGAUUCAGGGUUGUCCCAGAGCUGGUGCCUCCCUCUUGCCAAAACUUAGCAUCUUUACUGUGGUUUGGGGACAAUCCUCUGGUUCUUGGGGGGGGGGCAGGAAAGCACUCAGCUCCACAAGGAAUGAAAUGGUGGACACAGCAGCAGGGCACAUGGCUGGCCAAGACGUUAUUAUUGUGGAUAUCUGGGGGCUGUGGGCCUCUCCCCUGC